AAUCCAGGACCCCUUUCACUUCCUGGGGAACGCGGUAGGGAUGCUUGGGCGAGAGCUGUAGGUCCAGUCUGGGACAAAGCAGGACAGGUUAAAACUUUCAAGGGCAGUCAGUGGUAAAGAAACUCAGUUGGCUUCACUUCUGUUCCCGGGCCAAGUCUCCGUGAGACACACAGUGUGUCAUUGGUGAAGCUUGCCUAGAGUAUGAGAGACUUGAGUUAUGGGAACUUCUAAGCAGUGAAGCUGGGGCUUCACUGUGCCGCACAGCACAGGGCUGCUUCGGCUUGUUAAAGCUAUGCUGUUUAUGGCGAUCCCUAACAGCUGGCUGCAAACCAGGGUCCUAGGAGAGUCAUUUCGGGGAGAAUUCCGAAGACCAUAUUGAAGGGGUGGUGAGAAAACUCCUAUUUUUCUCCUUUUUCAUGGCACCUUAGUAAUAGCGGCCCCUCCCUGAGUGACUUCUGGGAGCCAGGUGGUCUGCUGUGGGUGUUUUCAUUUAAAUUUCUUCCUAAAGCCUGCCUGGCUUACACUCUUACCUCCUUAUUAGGGACACCUGAAGAAGGAAGGAUGUUUGCCUCAGGCUCAGGUAGCUUAGAGGCUGACACAGAUGGAAAGCUAACCAGAAGGACUGCCUUAGCCUGUUUUGUCUGGAACUUUCUUGGGUUUAAGGCCAACCCCCCUCCCACCCCGGAGCUCCCGGGGACUGGACCACCAACCAAAGAGUACACAUGGAGCCACCCAUGGCGCUGGCCACCUAUGUGGCAGAGGAUGGCCUUGUUGGACAUCAGUGGGAGGAGAGGCCCUUGGGUCUGAGGGUGUUAGGUGGCCCAGUGUAGGGAAAUGCCAGGGCGGGAGGACAGGAGUGGGUGGGUGGGGGAGCGUCCUCAUAGAGGCAGGGGCUAGGGGGAUGGGAUAGGAGAUUUCCGAAGAGGAGACCUGGAAAGCGGAAAACAUUUGAGAUAUGGCUCCCAAAGCUGAUGCUGGUCUCGAAAGCAGUGAUGGGGUAAGAGCUGAGCAGGGCGGCUCAUGAAGAACAGUGACAUCAGCAUCUUUGGUCAGUUUAGAUAAUCUAUAAAGAUGUGACUCAAAGCCUGAACUAAGGACUCCCUGAGGACUGUCUGAUGUCUGGCUGUGGGUCUCUUUCAUCUGUUUCCACCUGCUUCUGGAAAAGCCUCUCAGGAGACAAUUAUGCUAGGCUUCUGUCUGAAAACAUAUCGUUAAUAGUGUCAGAGAUUGGUUCUCUUACAUGGAAUGUGUCUCAAGUUGGGCCAAUCAUUGACCACUUACCAUCAUCUGAUGCAGAUGGAUUCCUGGCCUGCUGAGUGAACUAAUUAAUAGUUGAUAAGUUUUGUCAUGGAUAAAAUAAUUUCUGCCACUGGAGUUCAGCAUCCUUCAUCAGAGUGUCUAGGGGAUACCAUGAUGCUUGCCCUUCUGGUUAAUCAAGAACACUAUAUCCACAAGGAGGGUUAAGAACGAUCAGGAUGGUGGAAAAGGGUAUGUGCAUGUGACUACAGGGACCUAAGAAAGCCACAAGUAGAAGUUCAUUCGUGAUGCAGCUGGAGUUACAGGCUGAUGUGAAGCUCCCAUGAUUGGUACUGGAGCCAAACUAUGUUCCUCUGGAAGACAAUAUGUAUUCUUAACCACUGAGCCACCUGCAGGAAUUUAGUAAACCAGAUGGCUACAAGAAACUCCACGCAUAUGUACUUGGAGUUUUAUCUUCCCUUAAAAUGUUCUGUACACACCUGCAAUCCCACUUAGAAGGCAUGUGCAUCAGGAGUUCAAGACCAGCCUUCUGCAACACAGCUACGUAAAAUUAGUGAAAAAGACAGCAAGGGAAACCCAAAAGUGUGUGGAAACCUGGACAGAUUGGGUGAGAUGACUAGGGAAAAUUGAAGAAUCAUUAGAGUUCUAAGGAUACAUCCACAAUAUGGACAAGUGAAGUCAACAUGGCCAGAGAGCACCUGUUUCCCUAGUUCUAUUGCAUCUUUCAAUAUAGCCUUUCCAAACAUUUCUUCAUAUCACCUUCUUUAUACUUGCUAACCCU
rnacentral:lncRNA from 1 species